AGGGCGACCGUGGGGAGCCGGCCAGGGUCGUCCUUGCUGCUAUUGCGUGCCAGCCGAAGACGAUUUUACUUCCACUGGGGAAAAUUCCAGGAAUUCACAACUUGAGAACUAACGCAUGGCUAAAAAUACAGCGUCUUCACCCAGUGACCUGAAUGAUCAUGUAGCUAUUUUCAAUUCUUUUCCUAGUUCGCGAGACCAUAGGAACGGACAUCAAGCUUGAAAGGGAGUGAAAUAUUGUUCGUAUCUCACGGAGCGGAGAUGUUUGAAAUGUGAUCGCUUCGAGAAUGGUGGGGAUGGAAAUGGACGUGUGCAGAGGACGGUAUAGAAAACCCAGGUGUCCCUCGCCCCACCCGACACGGCUGUGGUUUCUUCAGGGCGGGCACCAGGGCAAGGCCCGCUGAUCGCUGCCGUGGCUGGGCUUGCAGACGGCAGGACAGAGACAGUGAAUGGAAGAACGACAGACGACAGGUGUUGACAUCAAGACAGGCCUGACUUGAUCUGAAGGUGGACGAACAGGAAAGGAACUAACUGGACAAAGAGCCGGGAAGGAGCGCGGUUUCCAUCUUUUGCUGAAGCAGAGUGGUCGUCGUAACUCUGUGGUUUGGCCGUCCAGGGAGCUGUUCUUCCAUGGCCGUCGCAGGAGGACUUCGUGGAAGAGGACUUCACUGGCUUUUAUGGGCUGUUUAAAGAACUGUGAGGCCUGAGGUGGCAAGUGGGGAAAGGUGGGCCUGACGUCGCCUGGAAAGGACUAAGGCAAAGGCCCUCCCCGGAGCACAGCCCGGGAAGAUAGCCCCUGGAGUUGUGCCACAUGCCAGCCUGUGAGCAGCAGCCUGGGGACAGUGACAAAGUGACGGUGUACAUGGAGAAGGCAAAUGUAAUCCGCCCAGAAGGAAGGAAAUCGCUUUCACUGUGGCGCCUCCUUGGGGUCUAGGCCCACACUUUCCCUCUCACGCUUUCAUCAUGUGCUGGGAAUGGAGGGCAUUUAUCUCUAAACUAACCUCUCCUCUGAGUUGCAGACUCCUUUCUGGGGCCCCUGAUGUUCUCCACCUGGAUUUUUGCAUAGUUAUUUCCAACUCAUUGUGUCCAAAAUGGAAAUCAUUAAGGUGUCUUUUCUUCCUGUGAGUUCCUUUUCUCUG